AAAACUCCCUCUCAAAACAAACAAACAAACCAAAAAAACAAAUAGCAACAGCAACCACAAUCAUCAUCACCAUCAAGGCUGGAACAAGGAUGAGGCAGGCAGGCUCUGAUAGCAACAGGAGGAAGCAGACCAAGGAGGGAGAGAAAGGAAGGCAGAGAAGGGGAAAAAAAAACACAAAUGAUAAUAAUAGAUGCUGACAUUUACGGAGCACUUACUAUGUGCUGGGAACCAUGCUGACGGCACACCGAAUCCACUGAACAGGUGGGACCUACUGUUAAGUUUUCAAGACCACCCAGAAAGAAAUUUGAAGUUGGGUUUAUAUCCUUAAUCCCUCAGUUAGAAAAAAAAGAAAAGUGAAGAAACUGCAUCUCCAAGAUCCUGCUAUAUCAACUUCAGUUUUUUGAAGUUAAAUUUGAUUUUUAAAUCCCUUGGCUGAUGAGACCUGUGUGGGUUUUUUUUUGUUGUUUUUUUGUUUUGUUUUGUUUUGUUUUAUCAUUGUACCUCUAUUUUAAAAAUAGAGACUUGUGGUUCUUUUUCCAAAAGCAGUCCAACAGAAAGUGAAUGGUGGUCAAUGCAUAAUAAAAUGAGAGUUACCUUUUGACUUGGAAGAAUUAUUAGCAUUUUGAUUUGAUGGGUUCUUAGCUCUUCAAAUUCAAAAAUACCUUAUUCAAGUCUAGGAGUUUUCCAAAUACUUCGGUUCUAAAGAUUACCCUUUUUCGAUGCUUUGAAAACUAAAAGGGCAUAUCAGAAUAGAAAUCUGGCUGUUGAAUAACUUGUAAGCUCUGCAGAGACGUACAAAAACAUGGCCACUUUAGCCAGCGGUAUGGCGAAAGUCUGGGGCCCACACUACACACACACAUAUGAACUUCUCAUGACCCUCAAGUAUAUUCAUAUGAUAUAUCACAAAUACCAUAAAGCAGCAUUGUAAUAACAGGGAGGAAUUGAUUUUAAAAGGCCUACAUCAAAAUGAAUAGUCAUAAAAGUAUAAUAACCUAGACUGGAAAAUUUAGGGAUUAGAGCAUUUUGAACAUUAUACCUCAAAUUUAUAAAGGCUGUAUAUUAACAUUCACAAAGGUUUUUAAAGAUGGAAUAGCUAUGUACACAGUGAAUUUAUUCUAAAAUCCAGACUCAAAAAAAAAAAAGAAUAUGAACUCCUCCCCACCGUGUUCUGGACUAAAAUCAAUAAGUUCCCUUUAGGUAAUUAAAAUGCUGGUCCCACGACCUGCCAUCCUAUUCCCAGGCUUAGAAUGUUAGGAACACUGUUUCUGCUUUGAGAAUGGAAGAGAGCAGGUUACCCUGAUGCCUCUGGGGCCAAACACAGGGGAUACAUUUUCCCAGUAGAAGAAAUCAGCCCUGAUCCUCAAGAAGAAGAACAUAUUGGCAUAUUUUAGUGA
rnacentral:lncRNA from 1 species